UUGUAGAUGUUGCAGAUAAAUUCAUAAUACAAAUGAUGUUGAAGAAACAAAGAGAAAAGAAACCUGGACUGUACCAUUUUCUUUGCAGCUCCUAAGGUGAAGUAUAGCGCAGUACAACACUUAUAUAAAUGUUUUGUAAAAAUAAGAAGAUGUGGUAUGAUUGUAAAUGAAACAACUCUCCAUGAGAGACCAGUGAGACAAAAAUUAACAACCAUAGGUAACCGUACACCCUUCAACAAUGAGCUAUACAACGUCAAGGCCUUGAAAUUACCAAUGAACAACUUAGGGCCUGAUUUAUUAACAAAACAUUGAACAAUAAACUGUUAUGAUAUACAGCAACAACUACUGAAUUACAAGCUCCUGAAUUGAGACAGGCACAUGGAGUUUGUAAAACAUUAAAAAUGGUUGCUGGCAUGAAACCCUCCUUCUAACCUAGGACAGUGGUGUAACAGUACAACUAGCAAACUAUAAAAAUCUUUUGAAAAGGGCUUAAUUCUAAGAUCAAUACAAAGUCAAAGCACAAUAAAAAAUCCUAAAACAAAAACACACGAAGUACACAUCUGAGAUUUAUAGCAGUUACUGAAAGCAAGUUCAAAUAAUCAAUAUUUUAUCCUUGUCCUAACACAUUCGGCUGAAUUUCUCUUAAAAGCUAACCUAGACCUACAAAUAAAUGGUUAUAGCCAUCACUGGAUGUCAUCUAAACAAAUAACACAUAGAUGGAGAGUAAUUUUAGUUUAAGUUGCAAAAAUGAUCAACAAGACAAGAUCAACAAAUAAGUAUCAUGCAUGGUUGAAAUUGUCAGUCAACUCCUAAUUAUUUAAUAAAUUAGCCACAGAGUUUUUUGUAUGGUCUAGUUUUAAUUAGGAUUUUAUUGUAGAUAAAGAAGGUGAAUUUCCUCUGUUGAGGAGUCGGAAAGUUGGACUGAAGAUAAAGGAUAUCAAAUGAAGGUAAACAUAAAUUUAAAGUAAUGGUUAUAUUGGUAAUACAUGUACCACGAGUAUGCAUCAAAGAUGUAUUGGGUAAGAUGGUAAUUACUGUAUGUGAAACAAUAAAAUUUGUUUAAAGUGGGCAGUACAUGUAUAAACAUACCAUCAACAUUAGCACAACCAAAAAUGCAAUCAUAAAAGCAUCUGCAAAAGUUUCAUAGAAAUCUAUGAAAGUAUGACACAGUAUCCAUGGUAUCAGUUAUUUGAUGUCCAUGACAUUGAAGGUGGAUAUUGUGUCAUUGGCAAUAGACCAAUUUCAUAUUACAUGUACCCACUUUAAUCGGAACUUUAAUCGGAACAAAUUUGAGGGAAGUUAACUGUUAAUUAUGCUUUCUUUACAUGACUAAAUCAUCAGAAAACAGUAAACUUUUCCCCAAAAUUGCACCGUUUAUAUUUUUGAAUUUACUUUUUUCGGUUGUUCGUAGUGACCGAGUACCAGGAUGUCUUACCACAGAGAAGGUAACCUGUUGGAAAAUUAUAGAAUCGGAGUCCAAAGUUGAUAAUGUGAAAAUAGACUAUUAUACCACAUCAUCUUAUUGGCAAGCCUGCAACUUUUGUUGCAGAAAGCUCGAUAUAGGUAUAGUGUUCUGGUGGCGGCUACAGUGGGGCCAGCAGCAGGGUUAGCUGAAUUCUUAAAAGCUUUAUAUUUUAGAAGGAUGAAGACCUGGAUGCUUCAUACUUUGUAUAUAGACCAAGAUGCCUCAGGUUACCAAGUUUUUCUAAGUCACAUGUCCAUUGUCCUUGACCUAAUUUUCAUGGUUCAGUGACUACUUGAAAAAAAAGUUAAGAUUUUUAUACGACUGCAAAAAUGAAAAAUUUUGGUCGUAUAUUGGUAUGAGGUUGGCGUCGUCGUCGUCCGGAGACAUUUGGUUUUCGCACUAUAACUUUAGUAUAAGUAAAUAGAAAUCUAUGAAAUUUAAACACAAGGUUUAUGUCAGACCAGAAAAGGAAGUUUUGGAUUGAUUUUGGGAGUUUUGGUCCCAACAGUUUAGGAAUUAGGGGCCAAAAAGGGCCCAAAUAAGCAUUUUUCAAGGUUUUCACACAAAAACUUUAGUAUAAAGUGAACAGAAAUCUAUGAAAUUUAAACAUAAGGUUUAUGACCACAAAAGGAAGGUUGGGGUUGAUUUUGGGAGUUUUUGUUCCAACAGUUUAGGAAUUAGGGGUCAAGAAAAGGUCCCAAAUAAGCAUUUUUCUUGGUUUUUGCACUAUAACUUUAGUAUAAGUAAAUAGAAAUCUAUGAAAUUUUAAAACAAAGUUUAUGACCACAAAAGGAAGGUUGUGAUUGAUUUUGGGAGUUUUGGUCCCAAACAGUUAAGGAAUUAGUGGUCAAAGGGUCCAAAAUUAAACUUUGUUUGAUUUCAUCAAAAAAUGAAUUAUAAGGGUUCUUGUAUAUGCCAAAUCUAACCGUGUAUUUAGACUCUUAAUUUUUGGUCCUGUUUUCAAAUUGGUCUACAUUAAGGUCCAAAGGGUCCAAAAUAAAAAUAAGUUUGAUUUUAACAAAAGUUGAAUUCUUGGACUUCUUUGAUAUGCUGAAUCUAAACAUGUACUUAGAUUUUCGAUUAUGGACCCAGUUUUCAAGUUGGUCCAAAUCGGGGUCCAAAUUAAACUUUGUUUGAUUUCAACAAAAAUUGAAUAUAUGGGGUUCUUCAAUAUGUUGAAUCUAACCAUGUAUUUAGAUUUUUAAUAUUUGGGCCCGGUUUUCAAAUUGAGGUCUAAAGGGUCUAAAAUUGAACAUUAUUUGAUUUCAUCACAAAUUGAAUUCUUGGGGUUCUAUGAUAUGCUGAAUCUAACCAUGUAUUUAGAUUUUGGAUAUUGGACCAUAAUAGGUAAAUGUCCAAUUUAAAAUUUUUAAGUUUUUAAGUUUAAGUUCUUAGACCACAUUCAUUCUGUGUCAGAAACCUAUCUUGUGUCAACUAUUUAAUCACAAUCCAAAUUCAGAGCUGUAUCAAGCUUAAAUGUUGUGUCCAUACUUGCCCCAACUGUUCAGGGUUCGACCUCUGUGGUCGUAUAAAGCUGUGCCCUGCGGAGCCUCUGGUUUGUAAUGUGAAAUUCUCUCUUAUUAUAAGUAAUAGGAUAAUUAUAUUUGGUAUGUGCGUACCUUGCAAGGUCCUCAUGGCUGUCAUACAGUUUUCACUUGACCUCGACCUCAUUUCAUGGAUCAGUGAACAAGGUUAAGUUUUGGUGGUCAAGUCCAUAUCUCAGAUACUAUAAGCAAUAGGUCUAGUAUAUUCAGUGUAUGGAAUACUGUAAGGUGUACAUGUCCAACUGGCAGGUGUCAUCUGACCUUGACCUCAUUUCCAUGGUUCAGUGGUUAUAGUUGAGUUUUUGUGGGUUUUUUUUUCUGUUUUUCAUAUACUGUUUGCAAAAGGUCUACUAUAUUUGGUGUAUGGAAUGAUGGUUAGGUGUACAUUUCUAGCUGGUAUGAGUCAUCUGACCUUGACCUCAUUUUCAUGGUUCAGUGGUCAAAGUUAAGUUUUUGAGUUUUUGUCUUUUUAUCUAAUACCAUAUGCAAUACGUCUACUACUAUAAUAACUAUAUUAGGUGUAUGGAAAUAUUUUGUGAUCUAUAUGUCAGUUGCUCAGAUUGAAUUUGACCUUGACCUCAUUUUCAUGGUUCAUUGCUCAAUGUUAAAGUUUCGAGUUUUGGUCCAUUUUUUUUUUAAAACUUUAAGCAAUAGGUCAACUAUAUUUGUUGUAUGGAAGAAUUAUUAGCUGUAUAUGUGUGCCUUACAUGGUUCAUCUCACCUUGACCUUAUUAUCAUGGUUUAGUGGUCAAUUUUUAGUUUUUUGGGUUAAUGUUAAGUUUAUGUUUCAAUUGUAAUAAAGCUUUAUAUUAAGGACUACAAAAUGUAUCAACAUAAUAUCAAUGAUUAGUAAAGAAGGCAAGACAUUUCAGCGUGUGCACUCUUGGUUUUAUAUUUAACCCUAGAAAGUAGCUACCGGUAAAUGUUAACUGCCAAAAAACUAAAAUCCUUUAUCAAUUAGAUACAGGAAAUGAAAAUAUUUUGAAAUUUUUUAUCAUAAAAAUGGUUAAGCUUAUAUUCAAGUUUCACUAAAUUCCAAGAAGGGUUUCCACAAAUAACCAUGACUGAUUUUCAAAAUGAUCAUCAUGUAAAAAUAAAGAGAUGUGCUAAGAUUGCCCAUGAAAACUAUUUGUAUGAACAAUGACAGUUCAGUGGUUUGCUUUCAACCUUUAGCAAAAAUGAUUACCAUAUAUAUUGUAAUAAGCUAUUAAUAAAAGCCCCGCAUUGUAAAAUGUUAAACAAUUAAAAAGUAAAAACAGCAUCCUGAUUUUUAUAAGUUCGAAGAAAAAAAUUGAGUCGUAUUAUGGUAUGAUGUCGUCGUUAGCGAUGUAUGUCGACACAUGGUUUCCGGAUAAUUACAUAGUUUAAGCGAAUGGAUAUUCAUGAAAUUUUACUACAAGGUUCAAUACCAAAAAGGAAGGUUGGGAUUGAUUUUCAGGGUAAUGGUACCAACAGUUUAGAAAUUAGGGGCCAAAAACCAAGCAUUUUUGUAGUUUCCAGACAUAAACUUGUGUGUCAGUGUACUGAUCUCUCUGAAAUUGUUCUUCAAGGUUCCAUAUCACAAAGGGAAGGCUGGAAUUUUUUAAGGGGUAAUUGCCUCAAACGUUCAGGAAAUAGGGGUCAAAAACAAACAUUUUUCUAAUUUCCAGACAAUAACUUGUGUUUAAGUGUAUGGAUUUCUUUAAAAUUGUACUGCAAGGUACCAUACCACAAAGGAAUAGGCUGGGAUUAAGUUUUGGGGUAAUUACUGAAAGGGGGUUAAAAAAAAUGGGGGGGGGAUUUUUUUAUCCAUAAUUUUGAUCACAAUCCAAAUACAGACAGUCUAUCAAGCUUGAAUAUUGUGUCCAAACAUGCACCAACUGGUCAGUCCAAUAAGGCUGCGCUCUGCGCAUCAUUUUCUUAAUCAUAUUAAUCUGACAUGUUAAAGUUUGUACAUUAUGAAGUUACUGUUGAUUUUGUGUAUUUCAGAUUAUUAUUGAAAAAAGAGCACUUUGUCGAAGUACUAGGAGAAUUUGAAAACAUCUUGGUGAAAUAGUCCGACUGGAUAUGACAGAACAUCAAAAGAAAUGACGAAAAAUUACACAUCUUAUCAAAAUACUAGAAACUAAAAGCUACUUGCAAUUUUCACUGGUUUUGAGCUCAGUAACAGUCUGACAAGGAAAGAAUUUAAUGAACAUGAUUCAUCUACAUUCAUCUAUCUUAUGAUGUCUCUUGAUAAAUAUUAAAACAUAUUGACUGUAAAAUAAUUACCAGCUCACCAAUUAUAUCUGUUGUUCACAAAAUUUGUUAUUUGGAAAUAUCUGUUGAAUGUUUUGAAAUUAAAAUGUGUUAACUUAAAUGAUUGAAGAAUU
rnacentral:lncRNA from 1 species